AUGCCCCCCUUCGAAGAAGAGGGGGUAUAUUGCUUUGCUCAUGUCGGUCGGUCGGUAUGUCGGUCCGUCCACCAGGUGGUUUCCGGAUGAUAACUCAAGAACGCUUGGGGCUAGGAUCAUGAAACUUCAUAGGUACAUUGAUCAUGACUUGCAGAUGACCCCUAUUGAUUUUGAGGUCACUAGGUCAAAGGUCAAGGUCACGGUGACCCGAAAUAGUAAAAUGGUUUCCGGAUGAUAACUCAAGAACGCAUACGCCUAGGAUCAUGAAACUUCAUGGGUAGAUUGAUCAUGACUCGCAGAUGACCCCUAUCGAUUUUGAGGUCACUAGGUCAAAGGUCAAGGUCACGGUGACCCGAAAUAGUAAAAUGGUUUUCGGAUGAUAACUCAAGAACGCAUACGCCUAGGAUCAUGAAACUUCAUAGGUAUAUUGAUCAUUACUCGCAGAUGACCCCUAUUGAUUUUGAGGUCACAAGGUCAAAGGUCAAGGUCACAGUGACCCGAAAUAGUAAAAUGAUUUUCUGAUGAUAACUCAAGAACGCUUUUGCCUAAGAUCAUGACACUUCAUAGGUACA